rnacentral:rRNA from 1 species
GACAGAGGUGCCAAGCGUUAGGCGGAAUCACUGGGCUUAAAGCGUGUGUAGGCGGGUUUGUAAGUACCUUGUGAAAUCCCACGGCUUAACCGUGGAACUGCUGGGUAUACUGCGAAUCUUGAGCUGUCUAGGGGUUGCAGGAACAAACGGUGGAGCGGUGAAAUGCGUAGAUAUCGUUUGGAACGCCAAUGGUGAAAACACGCAACUGGGGACAUGCUGACGCUGAGACGCGAAAGCGUGGGGAGCGAACAGG